GACAGAGGGUGCAAACGUUGUUCGGAAUUACUGGGCGUAAAGCGUGUGUAGGCGGCCGCGCAAGUCGGAUGUGAAAGCCCUGGGCUCAACUCAGGAAGUGCACCCGAUACUGCGUGGCUCGAGUACCGGAGAGGUUGGUGGAAUUCUCGGUGUAGAGGUGAAAUUCGUAGAUAUCGAGAGGAACACCUGUGGCGGAGGCGGCCAACUGGACGAGUACUGACGCUGAGACACGAAAGCGUGGGGAGCAAACAGG
rnacentral:rRNA from 1 species